rnacentral:rRNA from 1 species
AAUGAACGCUGGCGGCAUGCCUAACACAUGCAAGUCGAACGAGACCUUCGGGUCUAGUGGCGUACGGGUUCGUAACCCGUGGGAUCCUGCCCUUAGGUUUGGAAUAACUCCCCGAAAGGGGUGCCAAUACCGGAUAUUGUCUCCGGACCAAAGAUUUAUCGACUUUGGAGGGGCCCGAGUUGGAUUAGCUUGUUGCUAGGCUAAAAGAUUACCAAGGCGAGGAUCCAUAGAUGGUUUGUGAGGCUGGGCAGCCACUCUGGGACGGGGACGCGGCCGGGACUCCUACGGGAGGCGGGAAUGCGGGAUAUUGGAAAAUGGGCGGAAGCAUGAUCCAGCAAUGCCGCGAGAGUGAUGAAGGCCUGGGAGUUGUGAAGCGCUUUUACCCGGGAUGAUAAUGACAGUACCGGAAGAAUAAGCUCCGGCUAACUCCGUG